rnacentral:rRNA from 1 species
ACUCCUACGGGGGGCAGCAGUGGGGAAUCUUGCGCAAUGGGCGAAAGCCUGACGCAGCCAACCCGCGUGGGUGAUGGAAGGCCUUCGGGUUGUAAAGCCCUGUCGAGAGGGAAGAAGUUCUGACGGUACCUCUCAAGAAAGCACCGGCUAACUCCGUGCCAGCAGCCGCGGUAA